AUGAGUAGAUUACUGGGGGAUCGCUGAAUAUGGCCUGCGCUUAAUUGCGCGGCUAAUUCUUGAUUCUCUGCUAUCAGUUUUCUUUCUCUCAUCCUAAACACAAUGGAGUUUUUUCUCUAUGAACUACUUCCCUGGAGAGCUCGUCUCUCCAGUGGACAUAAACACAAACAACAUUUUGCAUUAUGAAAAACUAUUAAUCAAGAAAUUUAAUAUUCAAAACUUUCAACAACGGAUCUCUUGGUUCUCGCAUCGAUGAAGAACGCAGCGAAUUGCGAUAUGUAUUGUGAAUUGCAGAUUUUCGUGAAUCAUCAAAUCUUUGAACGCACAUUGCGCCCUCUGGUAUUCCAGGGGGCAUGCCUGUUUGAGCGUCAUUUCUCUCUCAAACCUUUGGGUUUGGUAGUGAGUGAUACUCGUUUUUCGGGUUAACUUGAAAGUGGCUAGCCGUUGCCUUCUGCGUGAGCAGGGCUGCGUGUCAAGUCUAUGGACUCGACUCUUGCACAUCUACGUCUUAGGUUUGCGCCAAUUCGUGGUAAGCUAGGGUCAAUGAGCUUAUAGGUGUUAUAAAGACUCGCUGGUGUUUGUCUCCUUGAGGCAUACGGCUUAACCAAAACUCUCAAAGUUUGACCUCAAAUCAGGUAGGAAUA
rnacentral:rRNA from 1 species